rnacentral:tRNA from 1 species
AGGCGAGUGGCUCAAUUGGCUAGAGCAGCGGUCUCCAAAACCGCAGGUUGCAGGUUCAAGUCCUGCCUCGCCUG